UCUGCCUCCCUGACAGCAUCUCCUGGCUUGCCUGCUGUGUUAAGAAAACCCCCAAGGACAUUAGGGGUUACACUUUAUUAUUUAUUUCCAAUACACACAAUCAUUGGCAAUUACUUUAAAUAACUCCGGCAAAAAUAUAAUGGAAUAAUCCAGUCACGGUAAAUAAUUACCAGGUCUAUCAGGAAUUAAUCGGGAGGAUCUGAAGUCAGGUGAGUGAUGUGUAGCCGUCUUGACAAUAGAAAGAAUGAUAGCGGAGGGGAUUAUAUACAGAACACAGGAAGAAGAGCUCCACGGAGGAGGGAGGAAAAGGCCUCAUCAAUAGUAAGAGCUGGGAGAGUUGGCAUCAUUGCUAUGUUACACAAUCAACAUCACAUCCUGUUAAUCAUAGAACUAUGCAGAUUUGACACAACUAUCUCUGGAAUACAGAGGCCAUGCAUAGACAUUAACAUUUAAGAAAUGUGCACAAAGAAUCUCCAAUCACUCCUAAUUUUAAAGACUAAAGUGAACACACAGAUGCUUUAGCCUUGUAGAGAUUAAGAGGUCCAGAAAACAAUCAUAAAUGUCUACCAACAGAAAAUGGAAAAGCUUUGAGAAGAAUCUGUAUUUACACAGCCGAGGGCCGGCGGGCUCGACUCAGCAAGGGGAGAUGAGUCGUCAUCAAGCUAAGGUCAAAUCUCAGGUAGAGAGGAAACACCGAAAAAACAGAAUCCUAGUCCCCCUGAUGGACGAUUUUCUGCUGAGUCUGUCAAGGGCCCUUACAGUAUGGCUGUCAGAUAUGACGAGAUCUACAAAACAAAGUGGCUAUAAGACCAGUCUGCUUAAUGCAUCUGACAACACGUCAUAAUCAGGCUCUGUCAAUAAUAAUUUGUUGAACAUCCAAGUCACUCAAUAGGACAAGCAAAAGAGAAAUUACCAAGUUAAGGAUAAUGCGGACGUAAAACGGAGCCGGAGCCAAAACAUCAGGUGACUAUUGUGCCAGGUCAUUUAUAGGACCAGGUGACAUGUGAAAUUUACGACCUUUCUCACUGUCCAGUGAGUAAAGACAUGAUCCCCAACAUCAAUUUGACAGUUCUGUAAAAUAUGUGUCAUUCUGACCAAGUUGUGUCCACAUGUCAACUAAUCGUCCAAGUACUGACGGUGAAAUGACCAGAGUGGCUUGUGUGUACUGAUAGCUCUCUCUCUCUCUCUCUUUCUCUCAGUAGACUAGCACAUUAUAAAGCUUUUUCUUAAACUUUAGUAAUUCAAUUAUAAUCAAUUCUAUUAUCGAAUAAAUGUAAAAUAUU